rnacentral:rRNA from 1 species
GGUACGCGUGAGAAUCUAACUUUAGGACGGGGACAACAGUUGGAAACGACUGCUAAUACCCGAUAUGCCGCAAGGUGAAACCUAAUUGGCCUGGAGAAGAGCUUGCGUCUGAUUAGCUAGUUGGUGGGGUAAGAGCCUACCAAGGCGACGAUCUGUAGCUGGUCUGAGAGGAUGAGCAGCCACACUGGGACUGAGACACGGCCCAGACUCUUACGGGAGGCAGCAGUGGGGAAUUUUCCGCAAUGGGCGAAAGCCUGACGGAGCAACGCCGCGUGAGGGAGGAAGGUCUUUGGAUUGUAAACCUCUUUUCUCAAGGAAGAAGUUCUGACGGUACUUGAGGAAUCAGCCUCGGCUAACUCCGUGCCAGCAGCCGCGGUAAUACGGGGGAGGCAAGCGUUAUCCGGAAUUAUUGGGCGUAAAGCGUCCGCAGGUGGUCAGCCAAGUCUGCCGUCAAAUCAGGUUGCUUAACGACCUAAAGGCGGUGGAAACUGGCAGACUAGAGAGCAGUAGGGGUAGCAGGAAUUCCCAGUGUAGCGGUGAAAUGCGUAGAGAUUGGGAAGAACAUCGGGGCGAAAGCGUGCUACUGGCUGUAUCUGACACUCAGACGA